GCAAAUAUAUACCGAGACUAAGUCGAGUGAAUAACUAAAGAAUAAAAUACGCCGGUGCAGUGUGAUCAUCCUACGGUCACCAAGGUUUAAACUUGUAAAAUUAUUAUACCAGAUAUUUGAUAUGUAUCAGUGUAGUGUGUACUGGGUAGCUAGCAUUAUUGAGAUGGCAUCUAACUAGCUAAUUAGUACUAAUAUCCUGAGAGUGUACGUGACAUUUCAGCUUAAGCUAAGUGACUCUUUCUCUCUCUCCUAGUACUAGUACUAGUACUCAAGUAUUAGUUGUGAAGCGAACGAGCACAUAAGUUGCAGCACACAAGUCGCUGAUGCCCUCCUCUGGUUCCUCUGCUCCUUGUCCAGAUCGAUCCUGCCGCCAGCGAUGGAAAGAUGCUGCUCCGCCGCUGCCUGAUCUUCCGCUCUCUCUCUCCCCCCUGGUCCAAAUCCCUAAUUUUUCCCCAAGGAUUCAACCCCAAACUUUCUAAUCCCCUCUCAGAUUUGUCGUGCAGGUUAUGUUCUUGUUGGGGCUGCUCUUCCUCUGCUGCUCCAGAUUGAACUCGCCGGCGCUGAUGACCGCGGUGCCGCUGGGUGGUGCAGGUUAACGCUCAAGUGUGCAGCCAUGGAGCAGAUCGAGCAUAUGUGCAGGUAGAGAGAUGAAGACGGUGGGGAAGACAAGCUGUUGGUUUGGCUAUUUGGAAGAAUGGAGAUGAGUGAGGUCUUGGCAAUGGCUUGCCCUGCUCUCUCCCCUCUUAAUAUCAGAAAUCCAUCUCCCCUGGCUGGUAUGGCAGCCCAUUCCCUUCUCCAUUGUUCUCACAGGUGCUAGCUUCUAAUUGGCUGAAGGUUGAAGCCCAUACAUAGACUAUACUAUUGACCAAUUGACUAUUAAUAUAUUGUGCACGUGAGAGUGGUGGUUAGUGUGUCUCAACUGUGUCCUGUUGUCCUAGUUGACUCAAAGAUAUUUUGUGUUGGUCUAAGUUUGGUGUGGCAUUGCUGUAUAGAUUAGCAUAGUAUGGUCUCCCUAUACUUUUGUCCAAAGAUUUGUAAUACACUUGUACAACUGUACUGUUUGAGGUGUGUGAAUAUAAAUAUAUAUUUGAGUGGUUA